rnacentral:rRNA from 1 species
UCUGCCGUGGGCGUCGGAGACUUGAGGGGAGCUGCUCCUAGUACGAGAGGACCGAAGUGGACGUACCUCUGGUGUUCCAGUUAUCAUGCCAAUGGUAUUGCUGGGUAGCUAUGUACGGACGGGAUAACCGCUGAAAGCAUCUAAGCGGGAAGCCUCCCUCAAGAUAAGGUCUCCCCGGGGCUUUGCCCCCUGAAGGGCCGUUGAAGACCACAACGUUGAUAGGCUGGAUGUGGAAGUGCAGUAAUGUAUUUAGCUAACCAGUACUAAUUGCCCGUGAGGCUUGAUCAU